rnacentral:misc_RNA from 1 species
UUAUGAGGAGUUAGUGGCA